rnacentral:lncRNA from 1 species
ACCCUGGAGAAAGAAUCUUACAAAGAAUACUAAAGAGCAUCCAAGUGUGAAGAAUGAAACACACAGAUGAGCCCCAAGAGGAUGAGGAAGGGAGAGGCUGGUGGGGGUCUGAUUCUCAUCUCCACCUUAACAGAAUGCACAUGAAGUCCAGCCAUGGUGUAGCCAAGGAGACCCACUAAGACCACCAAAAGCUUGGAAAUGAGGAUGCAGGGGCAAAGGACGGCAUUAUAGGCGCACACUUGAUUUCCUAGAAGUCUCGGACAAACUUUGGCAUGCAGACAGCUUUCCACUUCAAGAGUUUGCCCUUCACUUCUGACAUCACUCUCCAGAAUCAUGAGCACAACCCAGAAAUGUGGUUCUUGAGACCACCUUGCAAAUAAAUGACCUAUACCCAAUCUUCAUCUCAGCAUCUGUUUUGAGGGAAUUCAAACUAAGACAGGAGCCCAGAGAAGCUAAAGGAUUUCUGUUCCUUUUCCCUGGGGAGGCUACUCUUCCCACUAAAUGAACUUCUUUUCUGAAGAUCCACUGAACUGGCAGAGUCCAUUCAAUGAGACAUCUUGAGCCUCAGCCCCUGAAGCUCCACGCCAAGGCUCUCAACAUGAUUCUAUUCCAUGUGCAUUCAUUCUGUUGAAUAAACCACAGUUCAGCUUUGUUCAGUAAUGCUUUA